GACGAACGCUGGCGGCGUGCCUAAUACAUGCAAGUCGUGCGGACCUUGUUGAAAGCUUGCUUUUAAAAGGUUAGCGGCGGACGGGUGAGUAACACGUGGGCAACCUGCCUGUAAGACUGGGAUAACGCCGGGAAACCGGGGCUAAUACCAGAUCGUUUUUUCCUCCGCAUGGAGGAAAAAGGAAAGGCGGCUUCGGCUGCCACUUACAGAUGGGCCCGCGGCGCAUUAGCUAGUUGGCGGGGUAAUGGCCCACCAAGGCAACGAUGCGUAGCCGACCUGAGAGGGUGAUCGGCCACAUUGGGACUGAGACACGGCCCAAACUCCUACGGGAGGCAGCAGUAGGGAAUCUUCCGCAAUGGACGAAAGUCUGACGGAGCAACGCCGCGUGAGUGAAGAAGGCCUUCGGGUCGUAAAACUCUGUUGCCGAGGAAGAACAAGUGCCGUUCGAACAGGGCGGCGCCUUGACGGUACCCGGCCAGAAAGCCACGGCUAACUACGUG
rnacentral:rRNA from 1 species